AUUGAACGCUGGCGGCAGGCUUAACACAUGCAAGUCGAGCGGGCGUAGCAAUACGUCAGCGGCAGACGGGUGAGUAACGCGUGGGAACGUACCUUUUGGUUCGGAACAACACAGGGAAACUUGUGCUAAUACCGGAUAAGCCCUUACGGGGAAAGAUUUAUCGCCGAAAGAUCGGCCCGCGUCUGAUUAGCUAGAUGGUGAGGUAACGGCUCACCAAGGCGACGAUCAGUAGCUGGUCUGAGAGGAUGAUCAGCCACAUUGGGACUGAGACACGGCCCAAACUCCUACGGGAGGCAGCAGUGGGGAAUAUUGGACAAUGGGGGCAACCCUGAUCCAGCCAUGCCGCGUGAGUGAUGAAGGCCCUAGGGUUGUAAAGCUCUUUUGUGCGGGAAGAUAAUGACGGUACCGCAAGAAUAAGCCCCGGCUAACUUCGUGCCAGCAGCCGCGGUAACAC
rnacentral:rRNA from 1 species